UACGGAGGAUGCGAGCGUUAUCCGGAUUUAUUGGGUUUAAAGGGUGCGUAGGCGGACUGUCAAGUCAGCGGUAAAAAUUCGGGGCUCAACCCCGUCGUGCCGUUGAAACUGAUGUUCUUGAGUGGGCGAGAAGUAUGCGGAAUGCGUGGUGUAGCGGUGAAAUGCAUAGAUAUCACGCAGAACUCCGAUUGCGAAGGCGACCUGCUAGAACAUAACUGACGCUGAUGCGCGAAAGCGUGGGGAGCAAACAGG
rnacentral:rRNA from 1 species